AAAUGCGAUAAGUAAUGUGAAUUGCAGAAUUCAGUGAAUCAUCGAAUCUUUGAACGCACAUUGCGCCCCCUGGUAUUCCGGGGGGCAUGCCUGUUCGAGCAUCAUUUCACCACUCAAGCCUCGCUUGGUAUUGGGCGACGCGGUCCGCCGCGCGCCUCAAAUCGACCGGCUGGGUCUUUCGUCCCCUCAGCGUUGUGGAAACUAUUCGCUAAAGGGUGCCGCGGGAGGCCACGCCGUAAAACAACCCCAUUUCUAAGGUUGACCUCGGAUCAGGUAGGGAUACCCGCUGAACUUAAGC
rnacentral:misc_RNA from 1 species